CAAUAGCGUAUAUUAACGUUGUUGCAGUUAAAAAGCUCGUAGUUGGAUUUCUGGAGGGAGCGUCGUCCCGUAUUUACGAGUGCGUGACGUCUCUGUCCAUCCUUGCGGGAAGGCACGGCAUUGAUUUGUUGUGUCGGAUCGCAUCAUUUACUGUGAAAAAAUUAGAGUGUUCAAAGCAGGCUUUCGCUUGAAUACAUUAGCAUGGAAUAAUAAGAUAGGACUUUGGUGCUAUUUUGUUGGUUGAGCCUAAAGUAAUGAUUAAUAGGGAUAGUUGGGGGCACCUGUAUUGCGUUGUCAGAGGUGAAAUUCUUGGAUUUACGCAAGACAAACAGCUGCGAAAGCGUCUGCCAAGGAUGUUUUCAUUAA
rnacentral:rRNA from 1 species